rnacentral:rRNA from 1 species
UGGGGAAUCUUGGACAAUGGGCGCAAGCCUGAUCCAGCCAUGCCGCGCGAGUGACGAAGGCCCUAGGGUUGUAAAGCUCUUUCGGCGGGGACGAUAAUGACCGUAUCCGCAGAAGAAGCCCCGGCAAACUUCGUGCCAGCAGCCGCGGUAAUACGAAGGGGGCUAGCGUUGUUCGGAAUCACUGGGCGUAAAGCGCACGCAGGCGGAUCGUUUAGUCGGGGGUGAAAUCCCGAGGCUCAACCUCGGAACUGCCUCCGAUACUGACGAUCUGGAGUCCGGGAGAGGUGAGUGGAACUCCGAGUGUAGAGGUGAAAUUCGUAGAUAUUCGGAAGAACACCAGUGGCGAAGGCGGCUCACUGGCCCGGUACUGACGCUGAGGUGCGAAAGCGUGGGGAGCAAACAGGAUUAGAUACCC